UACGAAGGGGGCAAGCGUUGUUCGGAAUUAUUGGGCGUAAAGAGCUCGUAGGCGGUUUGUCGCGUCUGCCGUGAAAGUCCGGGGCUCAACUCCGGAUCUGCGGUGGGUACGGGCAGACUAGAGUGAUGUAGGGGAGACUGGAAUUCCUGGUGUAGCGGUGAAAUGCGCAGAUAUCAGGAGGAACACCGAUGGCGAAGGCAGGUCUCUGGGCUGACACUGACGCUCAUGCACGAAAGCGUGGGGAGCAAACAGG
rnacentral:rRNA from 1 species